AUGAUGGCGGGUAUUGAUGACCGCUACACAUCAGCCAGGGGCUGCAAUGCCACCCUGGGCAACCUCGCCAAGGCCACCUUUGAUGCCAUCUCUAAGACCUACAGCUAUCUGACCCCUGACCUCUGGAAAGAGAUAGUCUUCACCAAGUCUCCCUAUCAGGAAUUCACUGAUCAUCUUGUGAAAACCCACACCAGCAUCUCUGUGCAGAGAACCCAGGCUCCAGCUGUGGCUACUACCUAGG